GAUGAACGCUGGCGGUGUGCCUAACACAUGCAAGUCGAACGACGAAGCCCAGCUUGCUGGGUGGUACAGUGGCGAACGGGUGAGUAACACGUGAGUAACCCGCCCUCUACUUUGUGAUAAGCCUGGGCAACUGGGUAUAAAACCGGAUAGCAGAGUCCACCGACGGGUGGAAGCUGGAGAGCUUUAGCGGUUUUGGAUUGACGGGCGGCCUAUGAGCUUGUUGGUGUGGUAAUGGCUGAGCAAGGCAACGACGGGUAGCCGGCCUGGGAGGGUGACCGGGCACACGGGGACUGAGGGACGGCGCAGUGUCGAACGGGGGACAGCGGUGGGGAAUAUUGCACAGUGGGAGCGAGCGUGAGGAGACGACGCCGCGUUUGUAAUGACGGCCUUCGGGUUGUAAAACUCUGUCGGUAAGGAAGAAGCGAAAGUGACGGUACCUGCAGAAGAAGCACCGGCUAACUACGUG
rnacentral:rRNA from 1 species